GUUUUGUCAAGUGUAUUUCAAAAUGGUUAACAAAGAAAGUAAUAUGAUCCAUUUGGCUUGUGAUGAGCAUGGGCUUUCUUAAUUUGUCAGAUCUGGGUAACUUAGACUUUGUGAAUUUUUUCUGUUGGUUAUGUAUUUUGUGGUGCAGUUUUCUUUCAGAUCCAUGAAGCUUGACAAUUAGAUACAAAUAAUGCACAAUUUAUACAGCUUGAUGUUUUGUUGGCAUUCUUAGAUUGGAUUUGAAAUGCUGAAACUGUAUAAGCUUUAUGAGAAAGAUUGGUUGAGAAUGGAAGAAUAAUUUUGAUUGGAGCUUAAUGGGUCCAGGGACUGUUGGUAAUCCAAGCAAGAAUAAUGGCAUAGUGGACCUAGUUUCUUUUGCCCUUGAUUAUUCAGAGAUAUUUCAUUUGUUUAGAUAUUGCUUCUCUGAAGCUUGCCUAUCAGCUGGGCAUAAGACAAAUAGCAAAAUUAGGUUAGUACUAGUAUUUAGGAUUAUUGAAAGCUGAAGGUGGAAUACUUUGGGCUGUUUGCAUUGCAAGUUUUUGUAGUGUUAACAAUAAUAGUUGAAAUUUUAGGUUAUUUUGGUGUUAAUUGGGGUAAAUAAUUGGAAUUUGCAAAGUUUCCUUGCAGAAGGAAAAACAGUCAAAGUUCCAUAACUAAAUUCUUUAGGCAUCACACCUAUGUUCAGAAUGAUAUCAUACAACCCCAUAGAAAAACUGACAUUGCAAAAUUCUCUGACGGCAGCUCUCUCUAAUUAAAAGAUAUGCAUACCUUGACUUACAGCAUCAAUGGA
rnacentral:misc_RNA from 1 species